AUGUCUGGCUCCUCCAGCGUUGCCGCUAUGAAGAAAGUGGUUCAACAGCCCCGGCUGGAGGCCAGGCUCAACUGCAUAAAAGUUUCCCAGGCAGCUGCAGACUUCAAACAAUUCUGUCUGCAGAAUGUUCAACAUGACCCUCUGCUGACUAGAGUAUCUUCAAGUACAAAUCCCUUCAGACCCCAGAAAAUCUGUUCUUUUUUGUAG
rnacentral:lncRNA from 1 species